rnacentral:tRNA from 1 species
GGCUCUUGGUCAAGGGGUAUGAUUCUCGCUUUGGGUGCUGGAGAUCCGGGUUCAAAUCCCGGACGAGCCC